rnacentral:rRNA from 1 species
CGGGCAGAAACCCGGCCUCUAGAUUCAGCCUUGCGACCGUACUCCCCAGGCGGCGAGCUUAACGGCUUCCCUGCGACACUCCGAUCGCGAACUGCGGUCGGAUCAUCUAGCUCGCAUCGUUUACGGCUGGGACUACCCGGGUAUCUAAUCCGGUUCGCUCCCCCAGCUUUCAUCCCUCACCGUCGAGCGCGUUCUGGCGGACCGCCUUCGCCAUUC